CCUAUACUCCCUCUGUCCGAAAAUACUUAUCAUCAAAAUUGAUAAAAAGGGAUGUAUCUAGAACUAAAAUAUGUGUAGAACAUCUCCCAUGAUCCAUUUUGAUGACAAGUAUUUCCGGACGGAGGGAGUACUUC
rfam:Triticum aestivum genome assembly, contig: Triticum_aestivum_CS42_TGACv1_scaffold_328400_4BS